GACAUGGUUGGUAAAUUUGACCUGUACAUCACCGUUAAAGGUGGUGGUAUUUCUGGUCAAGCUGGUGCUAUCCGUCACGGUAUCACC
rnacentral:tRNA from 1 species